rnacentral:rRNA from 1 species
GACGAACGCUGGCGGCGUGCCUAAUACAUGCGAGUUGAGCGCUGAAGGUUGGUACUUGUACCAACUGGAUGAGCAGCGAACGGGUGAGUAACGCGUGGGGAAUCUGCCUUUGAGCGGGGGACAACAUUUGGAAACGAAUGCUAAUACCGCAUAAAAACUUUAAACACAAGUUUUAAGUUUGAAAGAUGCAAUUGCAUCACUCAAAGAUGAUCCCGCGUUGUAUUAGCUAGUUGGUGAGGUAAAGGCUCACCAAGGCGAUGAUACAUAGCCGACCUGAGAGGGGGAUCGGCCACAUUGGGACGGAGACACGGCCCAAACUCCUACGGGAGGCAGCAGUAGGGAAUCUUCGGCAAUGGACGAAAGUCUGACCGAGCAACGCCGCGUGAGUGAAGAAGGUUUUCGGAUCGUAAAACUCUGUUGGUAGAGAAGAACGUUGGUGAGAGUGGAAAGCUCAUCAAGUGACGGUAACUACCCAGAAAGGGACGGCUAACUACGUG